GGGAAACUGCCCGAUGGAGGGGGAUAACUACUGGAAACGGUAGCUAAUACCGCAUAACGUCGCAAGACCAAAGUGGGGGACCUUCGGGCCUCACACCAUCGGAUGUGCCCAGAUGGGAUUAGCUAGUAGGUGGGGUAAUGGCUCACCUAGGCGACGAUCCCUAGCUGGUCUGAGAGGAUGACCAGCCACACUGGAACUGAGACACGGUCCAGACUCCUACGGGAGGCAGCAGUGGGGAAUAUUGCACAAUGGGCGCAAGCCUGAUGCAGCCAUGCCGCGUGUAUGAAGAAGGCCUUCGGGUUGUAAAGUACUUUCAGCGGGGAGGAAGGCGGUGAGGUUAAUAACCUCACCGAUUGACGUUACCCGCAGAAGAAGCACCGGCUAACUCCGUGCCAGCAGCCGCGGUAAUACGGAGGGUGCAAGCGUUAAUCGGAAUUACUGGGCGUAAAGCGCACGCAGGCGGUCUGUCAAGUCGGAUGUGAAAUCCCCGGGCUUAACCUGGGAACUGCAUUCGAAACUGGCAGGCUAGAGUCUUGUAGAGGGGGGUAGAAUUCCAGGU
rnacentral:rRNA from 1 species